GAUGAAGAACGCAGCGAAAUGCGAUACUUGGUGUGAAUUGCAGAAUCCCGUGAACCAUCGAGUCUUUGAACGCAAGUUGCGCCCGAAGCCACUAGGCCGAGGGCACGCCUGCCUGGGCGUCACACGCCGUUGCCCCCCCAUCUACUCCUUCGGGAUUGCGGAGGGGCGGAUGAUGGCCUCCCGUGCGCCUAGCCGCGCGGUUGGCAUAAAUACCAAGUCCUCGGCGACGCACGCCACGACAAUCGGUGGUUGCGAAACCUCGGUUGCCCGUCGUGUGCGUUCGUCGCGCAUCGAGGGCUCGAAAAAAUGCUCGGCUCCGGCUGGGCUUUCAACGCGACCCCACGUCAGGCGGGGUUACCCGCUGAAUUUAAGCAUAUCAAUAAGCGGAGGA
rnacentral:misc_RNA from 1 species